CCUACGGGUGGCAGCAGUGAGGAAUAUUGGUCAAUGGACGAGAGUCUGAACCAGCCAAGUAGCGUGAAGGAUGACUGCCCUAGGGGUGGUAAACUUCUUUUAUAUGGGAAUAAAACGUUCCACGUUGGGGAUUUUGUAUGUACCAUAUGAGUAAGGAUCGGCUAACUCCGUGCCAGCAGUCGCGGUAAUACGGAGGAUCCGAGCGUUAUCCGGAUUUAUUGGGUUUAAAGGGAGCGUAGGUGGAUUGUUAAGUCAGUUGUGAAAGUUUGCGGCUCAACCGUAGAAUUGCAGUUGAAACUGGCAGUCUUGAGUACAGUAGAGGUGGGCGGAAUUCGUGGUGUAGCGGUGAAAUGCUUAGAUAUCACGAAGAACUCCGAUUGCGAAGGCAGUUCUCUGGACUGCAACUGACACUGAGGCUCGAAAGUGUGGGUAUCAAACAGGAUUAGAUACCCGAGUAGUC
rnacentral:rRNA from 1 species